rnacentral:misc_RNA from 1 species
AAAAAAAAUAAAAAAUAAAAAAAGGAAAAGUUGUCCUUGUGCUUCUCUUUAACAGAAAUGUGAUGGAUGGAUGAGUGAGAUUUUCAAAUUUUUGUUGUUUCACUGAGGCAGUGGUGGUCCACCUGCAGCAGCCAAAGUUGCAGCACCUUUACCAGGUAUUAGUUUCAAGGAGAGCAGCAGUACAGUAUACAAGUUUUGUUCAGCUGCUAUGAAAAUUUAGACAAUUCCAUCAUUGCCAAUCUUGAAUUCUGGUGAUAUUAAGCAACAGAAAGAUUUACCUACACAUUGGGUGCUCAAAUCUGAAGGCUCGAAUACGGUUGGGAGCAUUGAGGAAAUUCAUUGUUUAUACGUAGAUUAUUGCUUGUUUACUUGAGUAGAGAUCCAAUUUCAGGUGCUUGGUUGGCUGCUGUUUCUGGAGGUGGUCGAAAUAUUGUUAUUGUAGGAGCAAGCGUGCAACUUCUUGAUGAGGUGAUGCAGUUGAUCCACUACUAAUCAAAACUCUUAUAAUCAUUGAUGAUUAUUAUUGGCAUUCUUCGGUUUCUAUAGACAUUAAUGUGCAAAUGCAAGUACUGCUCUAGUUGGUGGAAGACACGCAUUGAUAUGAUGGAAACAUAUGUUAAAUUUUUGCUUUUUCAGUGAUACUUUAUAUCAAGGAGUUUUGCAUCUUUCUUGCUGUUAGUACAUUUUUUAAAAUAACAAUUUCUAAGUUAAACUA